rfam:Bacillus sp. FJAT-27997 Scaffold1, whole genome shotgun sequence.
AAAUGAAUAUCAUUUGUACCGUAGACAGUAGGCGCUCAAUGUUGAGCUUAAUUUCCUGCCGAGGUAAUUCGAUAAAAUAGUCCAUGACUAUGACUUUCAAAUUACUGCCUCCUCGUCUGCAAGAUGUGGAGGCAUUAUCUUUGACCGG